rnacentral:rRNA from 1 species
CAUAUGGUAUUUCUACGGGAGGCAGCAGUGAGGAAUAUUGGUCAAUGGGCGCAAGCCUGAACCAGCCAUGCCGCGUGCGGGAAGAAGGCGCUACGCGUCGUAAACCGCUUUUGUCUGGGGGUAACCGCAGGGACGUGUCCCUGCCUGCAAGUACCAGACGAAUAAGGGUCGGCUAACUCCGUGCCAGCAGCCGCGGUAAUACGGAGGACCCGAGCGUUAUCCGGAUUCAUUGGGUUUAAAGGGUGCGUAGGCGGCCCGGUCAGUCAGCGGUGAAAUGCCCGCGCUUCACGCGGGAGCUGCCGUUGAUACUGCCGGGCUAGAAUCUUAGCGAGGCGGGCGGAAUGCGCAGUGUAGCGGUGAAAUGCAUAGAUAUUGCGCAGAACGCCGAUUGGGGAGCCCAGCUCGCCAGCUGAGUAUUGACGCUGAGGUACGAAAGCGUGGGGAUCAAAAGGAUUAAGAUACCCUGGAGUACGCCGAACGUGAAACUCAAAGGAAUUGACGGGGGCCCGCACAAGCGGAGGAACAUGUGGUUUAAUUCGAUGAUACGCGAGGAACCUUACCCAGGCUCGAACGCCGAACGAAUACAGGGGAAACUUUGUAGCCAGCAAUGGCGGUCGGCGAGGUGCUGCAUGGUUGUCGUCAGCUCGUGCCGUGAGGUGUCGGCUUAAGUGCCAUAACGAGCGCAACCCCUAUCGAUAGUUGCCAGCGGGUUAAGCCGGGAACUCUAUCGAGACUGCCAGCGCAAGCUGCGAGGAAGGCGGGGAUGACGUCAAAUCAGCACGGCCCUUACGUCUGGGGCGACACACGUGUUACAAUGGCCGGUACAGAGGGCAGCCACCCCGCGAGGGGGCGCGAAUCUCCAAAGCCGGUCGUAGUUCGGAUCGGAGGCUGAAACCCGCCUCCGUGAAGCUGGAUUCGCUAGAUAAUCGCAUAUCAGCCAUGAUGCGGUGAAUACGUCCCGGGCCUGUA